UGGGCGGUCCCUGGGGGGAAACCCAUUUUCAUGGGACGCCCCUCCACUGGCAGAGGUUGGCAAGAAAAGGAGGCCUGGGGCAGCCCAGCCUCAGUAUGGGGACCAGAGGCUGUGAGCACCAUGGCCUGGACUCAUCUGCUGCUCCUGCUCCUCUCUCACUGCACAGGGUCCCUCUCCCAGCUUGUGCUGACUCAGCCGCCCUCCCUCUCUGCAUCGCUGGGAGCAUCAACCAGACUUACCUGCACCCUGAGCAGUGGGAUCAGUGUUGGCAGCUACUACAUAUCCUGGAACCAGCAGAAGGCAGGGAGCCCUCCCCAGUAUCUCCUGUACGACUACACAGACUCCAGUAAGCAGCAGGACUCCUGGGUCCCAAGCCGCUUCUCUGGAUCCUCGGCCAAUGCAGGGCUUCUGCUCAUCUCUGGGCUGCAACCCGAGGAUGAGUCUGAGUAUUACUGCUCUGCAUACAUCAGUGGCUCGUACACUCACACGGUGCCCCAGACCCACAGGGACGUGAGACUAAAACCUCCCCUGUGCUCUCCCCAGCGUAGAGGUCACAGCCUACAGACACCGGGACACCACAGGGCUCAGGGACUACGGUUCUAA